UGCAGAUCCUUGACGCCUCUCUGGCCACAGACAGACUCAGAUACUAGGAGCUGCAGCUGGUUUGGUUCAUUUACUGUGAAAAGUUCCACAUUUCAUAUAAUGAAAUCAGCAAAAAGUUCAUCCUGACCUCCUCAGAAUCAGAUGAGAUAAAAACGGUGCAAAGACGAGAUGGAAAAAGUGCAAAGAAGAGAUGGGAAAAGUGCAAAGAAGGGAUGAAAACGGUGCAAAGAUGAGAUGGAAAAAGUGCAAAGAAGAGAUAAAAAUGGUGCAAAGACGAGAUGGAAAAAGUGCAAAGAAGAGAUAAAAAUGGUGCAAAGACGAGAUGGAAAAAGUGCAAAGAAAAGAUAAAAAUGGUGCAAAGACGAGAUGGAAAAAGUGCAAAGAAGAGAUGGGAAAAGUGCAAAGAAGAGAUGGAAAAAGUGCAAAGAAGAGAUGGGAAAAGUGCAAAGAAGGGAUGAAAACGGUGCAAAGAUGAGAUGGAAAAAGUGCAAAGACGAGAUAAAAAUGGUGCAAAGACGAGAUGGAAAAAGUGCAAAGAAGAGAUAAAAAUGGUGCAAAGACGAGAUGGAAAAAGUGCAAAGAAGAGAUAAAAAUGGUGCAAAGACGAGAUGGAAAAAGUGCAAAGAAGAGAUGGGAAAAGUGCAAAGAAGAGAUGGGAAAAGUGCAAAGAAGGGAUGAAAACGGUGCAAAGACAUCCUCUGCAUCACCCGUCACUCAUGGCUCCUGAGUGUCCUUCAGUGUUGUUGUUGCUGUUCUUUAGUCACCAUGGCAACCAGACCUGAGGCUGUUCUUAUAAACUCACCUGCUUCUCUGAAACUGAACCAGUGUGACGACAACCCUGGAGGAACGUGCUUCAGUUUGGAGGCUGGACGUGAUGCGACUGUUUUUCCAUUUAGUGCAUCUUCUUCUGCUGGAAACUGAAAGUACUUGAGGGCUGGAAAUUUACAUCCUUUGACAGCCGCCUCGUUUCAUUCCCACGUGAGAUCGGAGGCGAAAAGGUGAGACGUUCACAGAGUCGUAGAAGCAAACAUCAGAGAGAGAUAAGAAUCACUCAGCUGUGACAUUAAACACUUGACCUGGAAUCAUCGGAGCACUGAAAGGAAACAUGUAGCGAUGAUGUCAUCUGACAAACCGGUUUCCUGACAAGAAAUCAAACACGACAGCUCAAAGACUGAAGACGUCUGAGGGAGUCGCUGACAGAACGCUGCCUGAGGAGAUGAUGUGCAGGAUUCUGCUGCUGCUCAGCUUCAGCUCCAGUGUCUCUGGAGUCCUGUCCUUUAACAAGGCUUUACACUAUGAGGCUGAGGAGAACAGCAACGUCACCGUGGAGUGGAGCUUCGCCUUGACAACCGGCCUCAGCAUCUCCUCCCUGAAGAUCCACUGUUUGCUGCUCCCUGACCUGCAGGUGUUUUAUCACCUGGACCACAGCGUGGAGGAGCCUCAGCACCAGCGGUUUGCUGGACGGGUCCAAUGCGACACAGAGGCUCUGACUGCAGGACGAGUCCGGCUGCUUCUGUCCAGGACCAGGACAGACGACUCGGGCCGCUACCUGUGCAGGAUGGUCACCGGGUUUGGCAAGGAGGUCAGAGAGUUCUGGCUCAACGUCACCGCUGCAACAGUCAGAACCACACCUGAACCUCCCAGUGCGGUCAGAACCUUGCUGCUGGUUGCCAUGGCAGCAGGGGUGGUGGUUCUGUUGACCUCCUGCUGCCUGGUGCUCCACUGACGUCCGAUCUGAGUCUAACGAGGAUCUGGCGCCCUCUUGCUGCUCCAGAAGGAACCUGCAGGUGAGUCACACCUGGCUCUGCUGCAGAAGCUUCACCGCAGAGUUGUGGUUCUGGACCGACCCGGUUCCGUGGAGGCGGGACCGCAGCGUUCUUGUUUACCUGCCUGGAGGAGCUCUUGAAGCUCAGGUGAUCACAGAUGUUCUCGCUGAUGUUUAAAAGUGAAACCGGUUUACGGGGACUUUGGUGUAAAUGUGAAUGUUUUCAGACAGAAUUCACUAAAUCUGUUCCUCAACUUUCUGUGAUCCUCUUCGGUUUACGUUUUCCAUAUCUGGGUUUUCACGUGUUGGUUAAAUAAACGUUGCAGUAACCGUUCUGUAAUCUUCAUGUCAGUGGAUCAUGGAUUGUAAAUACAUAAAGUAAUGAUACAAGUCUUCACCUGAAUAAUCAACACUGACUUUAUGUUUUGGAAUAUUUAUACUUUGUCUGUCGAUAAAUGUACUUUUUUUCUUUUAAAUAUUAAAAAAAAUGCUUUUAUUGCAAGUAGUGCUUUUAUUUUCAGGCUACAUUUCUCUUUUAAUGCUGCAGUAAGGGGACCAAGCAAACAUACACGAGGAUUUGUUUUGAUAGUUGCCUUUUUUUUGUUGCAUGAAUAAAAACCAGAUUUGGUGUUUAGAGUGUGUCACCUGGAGUGGAUGUAAAACUGGUCUGGUGUCAGUUUUAACCAGAACUCUGAUGUGUUUGUCUUCCUAAAAUGCCAUGUGUCUGACUCCUCGUCACACUUUGAAUCAGAAAACAAAGAUUAUGACUUCUUGAUGAACAACAUCCUCAUCUUCGGGACAUUUUAUAUACACAAAUGCAAAUCCAUGAUGGUAAAUCCUAGAUUUUAUGUGUUUCAUGAGGAGUUUCUGUCCUUCACUAAAGCCCUUAAAAAUGAAGUCUAAACAUGCAAUGAAACUGUUCAAUGUGAUUGAGAAUUACGAUCUGCAAAAAAACGCCUUAGCUCUAUGUUUUGUUCUGUUUUAUUUAUAUUUAUUUAUUUUUUUUCCUUUUUUGCUUUGAUUCUAUUUCAUUCUCUGACUGCGCUUCAUAUAAUUUUCAAGAACUGCCUCUUUUAAUAGAUUUAUAUAAUAUUUUACUGCACUGGAAGCACCUGUUCGUUAUAAAAAAUGCCUUUGUAGAGACUGUAUUCUACAGUGUUUUGUUAAAUGAUUUUGUCAAUAAAGG
ensembl:lncRNA